rnacentral:tRNA from 9 species
GGAAAGAUGCUCGAGUGGUUGAAGAGGCACGCCUGGAAAGCGUGUAUACCCCUAAAGGGUAUCGGGGGUUCGAAUCCCCCUCUUUCCGCAA